AUUGAACGCUGGCGGCAGGCCUAACACAUGCAAGUCGAGCGGAGCGGCGGACGGGUGGGUAAUGCCUAGGAAUCUGCCUGGCAGUGGGGGAGAGCUUACGGAUACGGGCGCUAGUACCUCAUACUAUCACACGGGCCUGGCUGGGUUUAGCUAGUUGGUGGGUUAAAGGCCUACCAAGGCGACGAUCCCUAACUGGUCUGAGAGGAUGAUCAGUCACACUGGAACUGAGACACGGUCCAGACUCCUACGGGAGGCAGCAGUGGGGAAUAUUGGACAAUGGGCGAAAGCCUGAUGCAGCCAUGCCGCGUGUGUGAAGAAGGUCUUCGGAUUGUAAAGCACUUUAAGUUGGGAGGCGUUACCAACAGAAUAAGCACCGGCUAACUCCGUGCCAGCAGCCGCGGUAAUAC
rnacentral:rRNA from 1 species